rnacentral:rRNA from 1 species
GACGAACGCUGGCGGCGUGCUUAACACAUGCAAGUCGAACGGUAAGGCCUGGCUCUUGUGGUGGGCGGGAGUGGCGAACACGUGAGUAACAUGUGAGUAUCCUGUGCUCUUCUCUGGGAUAACUUCAUGAAACUGUGGCUAUUAUCCUAUAUGUGCCCCUGCUGUGCAUGGUGGUUUGUGGAGAUUCGGUGGUUGGGGAUGGACUCGCGGCUUAUCAGCUUGUUGGUGGGGUAGUGGCUUACCAAGGCGUUGACGGGUAGCCGGCCUGAGAGGGUGACCGGCCACAUUGGGACUGAGACACGGCCCAGACUCCUACGGGAGGCAGCAGUGGGGAAUAUUGCACAAUGGGCGGAAGCCUGAUGCAGCGACGCCGCGUGCGGGAUGACGGCCUUCGGGUUGUAAACCGCUUUCGCCUCUGAAGAAGCGUGAGUGACGGUACUGGCUAAAGAAGCACCGGCUAACUACGUG